AUUUUAUUAGUGCAAGCUUGAGUUUGUGACGAUCCAAUUUGUUUGUAGUCUAAAGCAAGCGGGAGGGAGACUGUAAUAGCCCAGACGUUCUGCCUUACGCUACAUAGUAGUUUUGCCCCAUUGUGUGCUGUAUUGCCAACCGAGUGAGCCCACGGGUGCACAGAAUGUUGCGUACCUGAUCGGUCGGGCUUUGAGAGAGCACACGGAUACGGAGCUGAGUGCCGAAGGCGGGGUGGAUUUUGGUGGUGGUGCUACUUCACGAGUGCAGUGUGGAGUGGGUGUGUGUGUGUAUGUGUUUCCACACAGGUGUAACGAAAGUGUGCGGUGCUGUGGAGGCCUAUUAGUGCCCUUAUUCCCAGCUGUUACGCCUCGGCUCCUGCAUCCCCUUCAUACAGUUUUGUUGAGGGUAUUGGCCACCCAUAUCACAUUCAUUGAGCUAUUUAUUCUUUUCUUUUUUUUUUGUGAUUUGAUUUGUUGCAUUAAAUUUUAUUUUUAAUAAAAAUUUUUAAUUGUUU
ensembl:lncRNA